UAACCAAUAUACUCAGAGAUGUAGGAGAAGAGUAAGUAUGAAGCUAUAUUUAAUUCACAUUGAUCAUUUCUCUAGUAACAUGCCAAAAUACAUCGAAAGCGUGGUCUAUUUCUCAUAUAUAAAGUAUAGUGUAAUGCCUAUUGCUCCAUUUUGUUUCGAAAAAGUCGCAGGCGACUUUGCCAUUCUUUUUGUUUCAGAUAUAGUAAUUGCAAGUUGUUGCUUUACCUUCAUAUUACUCUACGUGGUUGUCUAGUGAUUGUGUGUGGCAGGCUUCCACCGAUCUUCAUCACUUUCACGUUUCAUCUUCAUAUCAUUUCACAUCAACACAAAAGACGAAUUUCCUCAAUGUUUCAUCUCCUCAAGCUUUACAUCUUCAAUUACUUCAAGUAUUGCUGCAAUUUUAAGGCAAUCUUUUUUCCUCACCCAUCUUCUUCUUUGAUUUUAAUUGUUCGUAAGUUAAUUUUGAAUUGUUACAAUGAGUUGUGUUUUCUUUGUUGUGUUAGGUGUUUAUGCUACUGCAGUAGGUUUUGAUCGGGGUUGCAGGGUUAUUAUAGGCGAGGGGCUGCAUAUUUGACAAUUUAGAAGUCAAUUACGCACUCGAAGAUUUUCAACCGGUUGGUGUUAUUUUUUGUAACUUCUUAAGCAAUAUCAACUGCAUAUAUGCCAGCAGAAACUGGACGGGGAUGAGUAUAACUUGAACCGCUAGACCCUGAACUUUGCAACAUGCUAACUGAAUAUGAAAUUCAUUUAUUCCUUAGGUUAUUUUCUUAGCCACGUUGCAACUGUGCAGGUUGGUAUGCACUUCGUAUAUGGGAAGCUGAGUUUUUGUUUGUCCAUUAAUUAGUUGGAUUGGUUUCUGUUAUGAAUUGCAUGUAAGUUCACAAUCUAUGUUGCUCAAACUUAGAAUAUUGUUUUGUUCAAUGUGUGUCGGAUCUUCCAAAAGCUAUGCACUUAAGAGGAUUCAACACUGGUGCUGCCUGCAGUAUUUUUAAAGGGUCCGAGUAACAUAGAUCAUCGUAGCAUUUCAUUUCAGAGUGUUUGAAGUUUGAUAGCUAACUGAUUGUCUGCAUUCUGUUGAUUUACAUUUGUUGGAUAUAUAUAGAGAGGUAAAACAUGAGCAGUUCAAUUGUUAGUUGUAGCCUGCCUAUCAAUUGAAGCCAAAAUGGAAAGAUUCAUGUUCCUUUGAUUGUUGAUUUGUAGGUGAUGAAUAGUUUCGUUCAUUCCUUACCUAUGUUGCUUGGACCCAUCAAAAAUGUCGUCAGGUGUGUGUUGGAUCCUCCAAAUGUAGUAUAUUUUUGAGGAUCCAACACGGGUGCGACAACAUUUUUAGAGAGUCUGAGCAAGAUAAAGUUCUUUACAUGUUUGUCCUGUUAACAAUUUAUAUAUUUUCUAAACUAGAUUCUAUAGUAAAAUCUCGAGUUUAUGAAACAGGUUGGGAAUCCAAAUUUUGUGUUUGAAGGCAAAACUAUACAAAGAAUGGAACUUUUGGUACUAACCACAUUGAAGUGGAGAAUGCUAGCUUAUACACCUUGCACAUACAUCGAUUACUUUGUAAGAAAGAUGAAUGACGAUCAAUCCCAUCAGAAUGUUUUGUGAUUAAUCCAAUUCAUGAUUAUUGAAUCCUGCAAUAGUAUCACCAUCACAUGAGGAGGAGGUGUGGCGCCACUUAUAGCACUUGGACGAACUAAUGAUGAGGUGAAUCUUUGUGCAAUAGAACUUCUAUAUGAUAUAUAUAAAUGCUUUCCUAUGCCUGCUUGGUUGUUGCUCUUUUUCAACUUUCCGUAACUUGUGAAGGCCUAAUUUCUUCCUCAAAUUGUUAUUGAAUUGGGUCCUUGUAUAUCUUAAAUUCAUGUGUAACUUAGCUUACCAUUAGUUGGUGAACUCUUAUUCUAUUUUCCUGGAAACUUUAGAUGAAGUUAGUCGGCUCUUCGAACUUAAAAGAAAGAAUUAACCGGCAUGUCCAGUGAUGGCAACCUGUCCACACUUGGAGAGUAAAUUUAGGAUAAUAAUUUUAACCUUUUAAUUAGUUUGUUCUAGGCUUAAACUUGUCCACACAAGCUUCAUCACAAUAAAUAAAAUAUAGUUCCUUCCAUGGCAUGAUGGAUACUGAAGCUUUCACUAAUUCCACCUUAAAGGUUCUAAAUAAUCAAGUCACUAAAUCUGCAAGUAGGUAGUAGUUUUAAUAACGUCUUCCACAUAAUUUCUGGGUCAUUCAUAUAAUCUCUGAAUAUAUUGUAUUGUUGAAAUAUGCCAUAUUUAGGAUGUAGCAUCUUUUAGACAUUUGUUUAUGUACCUGCAAGUGGUUUUACCUGGCAGUGCAAUGUCAAUGAUGCCUUACGCAUUUAUACAGAGAAAUUUAUACAUGUCAUCCUUUUCUGGAACAUAAAACUAAUAUGUGAAGCAAUAGUUCUGUUGAUUGGCAUGUAAAUGACAAAUGCAAGUACUCUCAAUCAUAUAAGUUUCCUGCUUUCCGAACUAUGAGUGAGAAAUAAGCACAAGUAUAAUUAUACUCAUGUUAUUAUUCGUUUAUGAUGCAACACCUUCUAAGAAAUUCGUUUGCUCUUUUCAGGAAAGCCUCUAAAAUAGCUACCAACUAUUUUUAGAGGCUACACAAUCUUCAAUAAGUAUUUUUUGCCAAAACAUAACAAGUAAUGAAUUUAGACGAGACUACUAUGUGAAUACAUAUGCUUCAGAGGAAAGAAUAUAACACUAAGAAACAAUAUUUGUGGCCAGAGAAACAAACGGGAGAAGAUCACAAAUGUUAAAAAUUGCAUCCGCUGAAAGUAAUCUAGAAUGUAUGUACAUGUAGUUUUGCUUUUCCUAAAAAAAAAUUGUUGAUGUCAUUUGAAGGCCUGAAAAUUCAGUGCUUGUAAAGUGCAUAGAGACAAAAGAUGGUCUCUUUGGUAUCAUUGAAGUAACGGCUACUUUUUGCUACUUAUUCGUGUAUAUGAAUUUCAGUUGUCCUACACUCAUCUAGGUUCAGUGCAAUAGCUUGCUCUUAUGAAACUUAUAAAGCUAAAUUGUUGGGCCCAUGCGCAGCACGGGCAAUGAAUCAUCUAGUACCUCAAGAUGAAUUAGCACAGGCAGGGCUCUCCGAUGAAGACAUUUUUGCUGGAAGAGUGACUGAUGAGUAGAGGAUCUUUACGAAGAAGCAAAUUCAGAGGGCAAGGAAAUUCUUUUAUGAGGUAGAAAAAGGUGUCAUAGAACUGAGCUCUGUCAGUAGAUGGCCGGUAAGUAGUCAUAAAGUUACAGUUGAUUGUAUGUAUCUGCCACUUUUUCUUUUAUUGUUAAUUGUUAUGGUAGUGAGGUAAAAAACAAUAUGAACUUAAGUUUUUUAUAGCGACACAUUCCAUCCUCCAUCACAUUGUUAUGCAAAACAAAAUAGGCUUCAGUUCAAAAAUAGUUUCCUCUCAUUUGGCUAUAGUUAAUAUGGACUAAUCGUCAUACUAGUAGACAUUGAAAGGUAUCAUAGUUUUCGAUUUCUAGUUCUUAAAUCCUCUAAAUCAUAUGUUCCUUCAUCACAGAGGAGAGGAAAAAGAGCUUGAACAACGUUCAUCAUAAACUGAAGGUAUGUUCUGUGUCUAAGAGCACAAACUGUUUUAGUUUACCACUCUUGUUCUGUUUAAGCUGUAUAAGCCCACUAAAUGUUUCUAUUAAAAAGGUCUUUAUUAUUUUUAUAGAAUGAAAAAAUGAUUAAAUUGGUCCUUAAUGUGUGGUAGUUGGAUUAUAUUAAUCCUUCAUAUAUUUAUAUGGUGUAACUUUCAUGAGAUGGUAGGUCUGUGUAUACUCUUACCUUCUUAAACUUCACUUAUGGUCAUAGAAUUGUAGAAAAGUGAUUAUUUUAGUCCUAAACAGUCUCAUUUUAUCUUCUUAUAAAGAAAGAAAUCUUAACUCAAAAAAUCUGCUAGAAUACGUGAAUCUGCAAUCUGAACAGGCAC
rnacentral:lncRNA from 1 species